rfam:Dipodomys ordii contig_69511, whole genome shotgun sequence.
GGGAAGGUGGCUCAGUGGUAGAGUGCUUACCUUGCAUGCAUGAGGCCCUGGGUUCGAUUCCCCAGUAGUCCUU